GACGAACGCUGGCGGCGUGCUUAACACAUGCAAGUCGAACGGAAAGGCCCCUUUGGGGGUACUCGAGUGGCGAACGGGUGAGUAACACGUGAGUAACCUGCCCUUGACUUCGGGAUAACUUCAGGAAACUGGGGCUAAUACCGGAUAGGAAUCCUUGCUGCAUGGUGGGGGUUGGAAAGCUUCGGCGGUUUUGGAUGGACUCGCGGCUUAUCAGCUUGUUGGUGGGGUAGUGGCUUACCAAGGCUUUGACGGGUAGCCGGCCUGAGAGGGCGACCGGCCACAGUGGGACUGAGAUACGGCCCAGACUCCUACGGGAGGCAGCAGUGGGGAAUAUUGCACAAUGGGCGGAAGCCUGAUGCAGCAACGCCGCGUGCGGGAUGACGGCCUUCGGGUUGGAAACCGCUUUCAGCAGGGGCGAAGCUUGUGGUGACGGUACCUGCAGAAGAAGCACCGGCUAACUACGUG
rnacentral:rRNA from 1 species